CUCUAGCCCAACCUACAUUGACCUGGAAUAACAAAGCUACUGAACAUACUAAACUAAAGCAUUUACUAGUCCCAGUAUAGGCGAUAGAAAAGACACCAUUGGAGCGAUAGAGAUCACGUACCGUAAGGGAAAGAUGAAAUAGUAAUGAAAUACCCUAAGCUAAAAACAGCAAAGAUCAACCCUUGUACCUUUUGCAUAAUGGUCUAGCAAGAAAAACCAAGCAAAAUGAAUUUAAGUUUGCCACCCCGAAACCCAAGCGAGCUACUCGCGAGCAGCUAUUGUUGAGCGAACCCGUCUCUGUUGCAAAAGAGUGGGAUGACUUGCUAGUAGAGGUGAAAAGCCAAUCGAGCUGGGUGAUAGCUGGUUGCCUGUGAAACGAAUCUAAGUUCACUCUUAAUUCUUCUCCAAGGAAACUCAAAGAACCCUAAUGAAGCGAAUUAAGGGCUAUUUAAAGGGGGUACAGCUCCUUUAAAAAAGAAUACAAUCUCUAAGAGCGGAUAAGUAAAUUAUUUAAUAACCUAAUGUGGGCCUUCAAGCAGCCAUCAACAAAGAGUGCGUUAAAGCUCAAUACUACAAAAAAUAUAAGAACCUUAUGACUCCCUCAUCAUUAACAGGCUAACCUAUAUGUAAAUAGGAGAAUUAAUGCUAGAAUGAGUAACCUGGGUCCUCCCUCUUCGACGCAAGCUUACAUCAACACAUUAUUAACAAAC
rnacentral:rRNA from 1 species